GUCUAUUCUGCCCAUUGAAUAAUAAGUUUAAAAGGCCGCAGUAUUCUGACUGUGCAAAGGUAGCAUAAUCAUUAGUUUUUUAAUUGAAGGCUUGUAUGAAUGAUUGGACAAGAAUUAAGCUGUCUCUUUCAAUAAGAUUUGAAUUUUAUUUUUGAGUGAAAAAGCUCAAAUAAUUAAAAAAGACGAUAAGACCCUAUAAAUCUUAAUGUGAGUAAGUUUUUAAGUUUAAAUAUAAGGUUUAAUUAAAUUUAAAGAACUAAAUUCAUUGUGCUGGGGCGGUAGAGAUAAAAAAAAUAAACUGUCAUUAUAAAAAACAAGUAUUUUUGUAUAGUAAAAGAUCCUGAAAUUUGGAUUAAAAGAGAAAGUUACUUUAGGGAUAACAGCAUAAUUUCUUUUGAGAGUUCAAAUCGAAAAAGAAGCUUGUGACCUCGAUGUUGAAUUAAGAGAUCCU
rnacentral:rRNA from 1 species